UUGUCUGGCAUCGGGGCAGGAACUC
rnacentral:miRNA from 1 species